rfam:Schistosoma rodhaini strain Burundi genome assembly, scaffold: SROB_scaffold0000227
AUCCAGCUGAUGAGUCCAAACUAGAACGAAACGCGUGUUCUGGAU